UAUAUCUUUUGGGUGAAGUUCAAAAUCUUUUCCUGCCUCAUCUGGCAUUAGAUUGUCUAACUAAUGAUAACUGGUUACUUUUGUUGCGAAUGAAUAAAUUACUAAGCUUCCCUGUCUUCCUAUGUGGAUAUUCGAAAUUGUUAAGUGGAGUAUUUUACCAACACACGACAGAUUCAAAACGGAUCAUGAGAAACGCCACAACAACUCAGGAAAGGAAGCCUCAAGAGUACAAUAAAGGCAAUUUAAAGUAGAGAAACCAGAAACUAUAAAUCGCACACAGCUAAAAUCACAAAACACAGAACAAG
rnacentral:sRNA from 1 species